rnacentral:rRNA from 1 species
UACGUAGGGUGCGAGCGUUGUCCGGAUUUACUGGGCGUAAAGAGCGUGGUAGGCGGCCAAACAGGUCCGUUGUGAAAACUGGAGGCUCAACCUCCAGACGUCGACGGAAACCGUGUGGCUAGAGUCCGGAAGAGGAGAGUGGAAUUCCUGGUGUAGCGGUGAAAUGCGCAGAUAUCAGGAAGAACACCAAUGGCGAAGGCAGCUCUCUGGGACGGUACUGACGCUGAGACGCGAAAGCGUGGGGAGCGAACAGGAUUAGAU